rnacentral:rRNA from 1 species
GACGAACGCUGGCGGCGUGCUUAACACAUGCAAGUCGAACGGUGAAGCGCCUUCCUUUUUGGUGGGUGUGGAUGAGUGGCGAACGGGUGAGUAACACGUGAGUAACCUGCCCCCUUCUUCUGGAUAACCGCAUGAAAGUGUGGCUAAUACGGGAUAUUCUGGGUCUGUCGCAUGAUGGGUCUGGGAAAGAUAUUGUUUCGGUGGGGGAUGGGCUCGCGGCCUAUCAGCUUGUUGGUGGGGUGAUGGCCUACCAAGGCGGUGACGGGUAGCCGGCCUGCGAGGGUGGACGGUCACACUGGGACUGAGGCACGGCCCAGACUCAUACGGGAGGCAGCAGUGGGGAAUAUUGCACAAUGGGCGCAAGCCUGAUGCAGCGACGCCGCGUGAGGGAUGGAGGCCUUCGGGUUGUGAACCUCUUUCGCCAGUGAAGCAGGACUGCCUCGUUUGUGGGUGGGUUGACGGUAGCUGGAUAAGAAGCGCCGGCUAACUACGUG